GUGGGGAAUCUUGCACAAUGGGGGAAACCCUGAUGCAGCGACGCCGCGUGAACGAUGAAGCCCUUCGGGGUGUAAAGUUCUUUCGACAGGAACGAUAAUGACGGUACCUGGAGAAGAAGCUGCGGCUAACUACGUGCCAGCAGCCGCGGUAAUACGUAGGCAGCGAGCGUUGUUCGGAGUUACUGGGCGUAAAGAGUGCGUAGGCGGCGAGCCAAGUUUGGUGUGAAAUCUCCCGGCUUAACCGGGAGGGUGCGCCGAAGACUGGGAAGCUGGAGUGUGGGAAAGGCAGGCGGAAUUCCUGGUGUAGCGGUGAAAUGCGUAGAUAUCAGGAGGAACACCGGCGGUGUAGACGGCUUGCUAGACCAUAACUGACGCUGAGGCACGAAAGCGUGGGUAGCAAACA
rnacentral:rRNA from 1 species